CAGUCGCCACGGUAAUACGUAGGUGGCAAGCGUUGUCCGGAAUUAUUGGGCGUAAAGGGCUCGCAGGCGGUUUCUUAAGUCUGAUGUGAAAGCCCCCGGCUCAACCGGGGAGGGUCAUUGGAAACUGGGAAACUUGAGUGCAGAAGAGGAGAGUGGAAUUCCACGUGUAGCGGUGAAAUGCGUAGAGAUGUGGAGGAACACCAGUGGCGAAGGCGACUCUCUGGUCUGUAACUGACGCUUAGGAGCGAAAGCGUGGGGAGCGAACAGGAUUAGAUACCCCGGUAGUCCCUGUCUCUUAUAC
rnacentral:rRNA from 1 species